ACUGAUUAGUUGGCAAGAGCAAACGGGACAAAUGCCUGUUUUUCUCAAAAAAAGUCAGGAUGGCUGGGACAGAGCUUAAAAAGGGAACUAUCCCAGCCAAAAGGGGAUGUAUGGUCACCCCACUUCCAGGCAAGUGAGUCCUGAGGGAGCCCAGCUGGGGUGAGGGCAGAACCUGGCCUAGCUGAUCGUGCCACUCCCGAGAGGCCGGAGCGAUUGCCCGCCCCAGCACUGUACUGGCCCCGGCCGCACUGCCAGCUCAGCCUGGCAGAUGCAGUCACCUCCCAGCAGGGCUGGUGAGUGUGGCCGAGGGACAGGGUGUGAGGGAGUGGGUCUCUGAGGGAUCUUUGGGGGUGGUGUUGGGCUGUGAGGUGGUGUGGCUGCUGGGCAGUGGAGGAGGUUUGUGUGUUUUGGGUGCUAGGCAGUGGGGGGUGUAGAAGCUAGUUGGCUCUAUAUAGCUGGGGAAAUCCCCAGCAUGGAGAUUGUGGGUUGUUUUCACUUCCUUAACCCCUAAGUAUUAAUUGUGGCCUUUUUUUUUUUUCCACUUUUGUGAAAUAUGCUCAGCUCUGAGACUGAACAUAACAGGUCUGUAGGUUUGUUCCAUUAUACAUCCUCUGCUGUUCAAAUAUUGCAUUGUUAGAGACCAUUUCCAUUGAAAUAUUUGCCAAAACUCCCCUUAAGUACAGUGGUUCCAUUCAGAAUCACACCUACAUCGAGAUAUAUUUCCUAGUGAUGAUCCUAUGUUUUCCCUUUCUUCACAGCUAGGCAAUCCAAAGAUGUUGGAUUGUUCCACACUUGAAAAUCCAGAUGUCUUUACUUUACUCUCUUGGACCUUGCUACUUGAUAGGUUGGAAACUUUUUCUGUUUGGUUUUUUGUAAGACUGUUUCACAGUUUGAGUAAUGUGGGUCACUAGGCUUCCCAUUCCCACUUCAGUAAUGUUUAUUGUAUUCAAAUGUAUGUAUGUCUAGUUCAGUGUUCACAUUUGCAGCUCCUGCAUGCAUUCAGUUUGCUUCUUCACUGCAUUGUAAUUAAUUGCUGUCUACUCUCUCUCCUCAGCUCACCUCCUUUUACCAAUGGUAAGUCCACUCUGCUCAAGUGCUCUUACUGAAGCACUACAAGAUGGCAUCUUUCACUUGUCAGGAAACAGGAUAUUUAGGAUUGAAAGAAUAAUCUUGACAUUUGUUUCCCCUUUGCCUUAGAUAUUUUACAAUAGUUUUAUGAAUCUCAGAUAUUAUACAUUUAUUGGACUUUGAGACUGUCUUAAAUAUUCUUUACCUGCUAUGUGUAGUGGCCCCCAAAGAGGUGUUUGGCCAUUAGAGAUCCUGACACACACGCACAAGUCUGAUUUUAAUGAUCCAAACAAUGAGGUUCCACCAUUUCCCUUUGUAGACUUUUGCACGGUGCAUGGUAAUAGACCCCCUCCACAUUAUGGAUGUUUUUACUAAUAUGCAUCUUACAUUUUCUUUGCUCUAUUUCUUCCCAUUCUAAUUAUAUUCUUUUGGACCACCUUAAAAAAAAACUGUUAUUUUGUCUCUAGGUAAGAAUAUGCAGUCCCAUACACACACAUCUUUGUCAAGCUGAUCAUAAGUAUCCUGAUUUUGUAAAAAACAAACAAACAAAUAAAUCAGAAUCUCAGCAUUUGUACCCAGCUCUGGAAGCUACAGAACGCUCCAGUCACCUCUUAACCUGACUACUGCAAAAUCCAGCUUUCUAGUUUCCCCUCUCUAUUCCCAUCCAAAAUGCUGCCAGUAAAACAAUUUUAUUUUUUCACCAUUUCAGACAUGUCUCCGUCAUUCUUGAAUCUGUACAUCUGCUUCAGUUCUUUGUCCUCAUUUAGUAUCUCUCUUUACCUAUAAGGUCCUCUGGCUGCAUCUAUACUCAUACACCAUUUCCUGCAUUUCACCCAAGUCUCACAGUUAUCCUCUGUGUCUGUGUCAACUGCUACAGACCCAUUCAGUAAAAACAGGUCAGGCUGCCUAAAAGUAGGUCUUUGCUGUGUUUCUAACCAUCUUUAAAAUAAGCUUAGCUGAAAACCAGUUAGGCAAAUUUCCCAAUGUACAUAGGCACAACAGGAUCCAUUAAGUAGCCCAGUGCUGUGUUAGCAGGAGAGAGGGAGGAGGAAUGACUUCUGUGGGUUUGUCAAACCUUUAUUUGUUCAUGUUUGUUUUGUAUUUAAUAGGCUUACAUCCAUGUCCUUGCUCUUUAAAGCACUGUAUUAUACACUGAAAUGGAUGGUUCCUUUCAGCCAUUAAACAAAGCCAAUAACCUGAAAGGAACCAUAGCUCAAAAACACAAUCUUGACCUCUGAUUGACCUUGACAUUUACAAGGAAAAAGAACUUUUCUUUUAACAGACAAAACAAGUCAGUGAGCCAGGAAGAACUAGAAGAAAAUGGUUAUGUUGCUUUUUGAUUACUUUGUUUAAACCAACAUACUACAUGGUUUACAGUACUUCAUUACAAUGUAUUAGGGCUUGGAGAUGAUUUAAUGCCUGUUUAUAAUUCAGACUAUUCUUGAAAUAAACAAGUGAAUGUUUGGAAAAUGGAU